CAUGUAGGCGGCCUAUUAAGUCGGGCGUGAAAAUGCGGGGCUCAACCCCGUAUGGCGCCCGAUACUGGUGGGCUUGAGUGCAGGAGAGGAAAGGGGAAUUCCCAGUGUAGCGGUGAAAUGCGUAGAUAUUGGGAGGAACACCAGUGGCGAAGGCGCCUUUCUGGACUGUGUCUGACGCUGAGAUGCGAAAGCCAGGGGAGCGAACG
rnacentral:rRNA from 1 species